UGCGGAAGGAUCAUUAUUGAAAUAAAUCUGAUGGGUUGUUGCUGGUUCUCUAGGGAGCAUGUGCACGCCUUGUCAUCUUUAUAUCUCCACCUGUGCACCUUUUGUAGACCUUUCAGGUCUAUGUUGCUUCAUUUACCCCAAUGUAUGUUAAUAGAAUGUUGUGCCUAUAUACAAUAUAUACAACUUUCAGCAACGGAUCUCUUGGCUCUCGCAUCGAUGAAGAACGCAGCGAAAUGCGAUAAGUAAUGUGAAUUGCAGAAUUCAGUGAAUCAUCGAAUCUUUGAACGCACCUUGCGCUCCUUGGUAUUCCGAGGAGCAUGCCUGUUUGAGUGUCAUUAAUAUAUAUAUAUCAACCUUCUCUUGUGGAAUGGUUUGGAUGUGGGGGUUUGCUGGGUUUCAUAUAUAUAUAUGGGUUCAGCUCUCCUGAAAUGCAUUAGCAGAACGACCUGUUCAUUUGGUGUGAUAACUAUCUACGCUAUUGAAUGUGAGGGGCAGUUCAGCUUUCCAACAGUCCUCUUGGACAACUCAUCAUUAAUGUGACCUCAAAUCAGGUAGGACUACCCGCUGAACUUAA
rnacentral:rRNA from 1 species